UACGUAGGGUGCAGGCGUUAAUCGGAAUUACUGGGCGUAAAGCGUGCGCAGGCGGUUUGCUAAGACAGGUGUGAAAUCCCCGGGCUUAACCUGGGAACUGCGCUUCUAACUGGCAGGCUUGAGUGUGGCAGAGGGGGGUGGAAUUCCACGUGUAGCAGUGAAAUGCGUAGAGAUGUGGAGGAACACCGAUGGCGAAGGCAGCCCCCUGGGCUAACACUGACGCUCAUGCACGAAAGCGUGGGGAGCAAACAGG
rnacentral:rRNA from 1 species